rnacentral:rRNA from 1 species
UACGUAGGGUGCGAGCGUUUGUCCGGAAUUAUUGGGCGUAAAGGGCUCGUAGGCGGUUUGUCGCGUCGGGAGUGAAAACACCGGGCUUAACUCGGUGCUGGCUUUCGAUACGGGCAGACUAGAGGUAUUCAGGGGAGAACGGAAUUCCUGGUGUAGCGGUGAAAUGCGCAGAUAUCAGGAGGAACACCGGUGGCGAAGGCGGCGACCUGGGGUCGAGACUGACACUGAGGCGCGAAAGCGUGGGGAGCAAACAGG